UACGUAGGGGGCUAGCGUUGUCCGGAUUUAUUGGGCGUAAAGAGCGUGUAGGCGGCCAUGUAGGUCCGGUGUGAAAACUCGAGGCUUAACCUCGAGAUGUCAUCGGAAACCAUUUGGCUAGAGUCCGGAAGAGGAGAGUGGGAAUUCCUGGUGUAGCGGUGAAAUGCGCAGAUAUCAGGAGGAACACCGAUGGCGAAGGCAGCUCGCUGGGACGGUACUGACGCUGAGACGCGAAAGCGUGGGGGAGCAAACAGGAUUAGAUACCCGUGG
rnacentral:rRNA from 1 species